rnacentral:rRNA from 1 species
CGGCCCGCGUUAGAUUAGGUAGUUGGUGGGGUAAUGGCCUACCAAGACUACGAUCUAUAGCUGGGCUGAGAGGAUGAUCAGCCACACUGGGACUGAGACACGGCCCAGACUCCUACGGGAGGCAGCAGUGGGGAAUCUUGCACAAUGGGCGAAAGCCUGAUGCAGCCAUGCCGCGUGAAUGAUGAAGGCCUUAGGGUUGUAAAAUUCUUUCGCUAGGGAUGAUAAUGACAGUACCUAGUAAAGAAGCCCCGGCUAACUUCGUGCCAGCAGCCGCGGUAAUACGAAGGGGGCUAGCGUUGUUCGGAAUUACUGGGCGUAAAGCGCACGUAGGCGGACUUUUAAGUCAGAUGUGAAAUCCCGGGGCUCAACCUCGGAACUGCAUUUGAAACUGGAAGUCUGGAGUUCAGGAGAGGUUAGCGGAAUACCGAGUGUAGAGGUGAAAUUCGUAGAUAUUCGGUGGAACACCAGUGGCGAAGGCGG